rnacentral:sRNA from 1 species
GUACAGCAUGGGUUGAGGUGGCCAGAUCCUGGCAGGGGUCUCAACUCCACUGAUAGCUAAAGCAUGUUGGGGUUUGAAUGCUGGAUACUUUGAAGUUGCCAUAUCCUGACUGAAGUCCUUCCCAGAACGGCAGUAGUUGGUCGAUAUGAAAACCCAUGGACAAUCCCGAAUAUGUUGUCAAUGACGAGAAUUGGCUUGGCCCCAGUUCUGGGCUAUUUGAUUAUUGAAGAAGAUUUUAAUAUUGCACUAGGAGUUUUUGCUUUAGCUGGACUAACAGAUUUGUUGGAUGGAUUUAUUGCUCGAAACUGGGCCAAUCAAAGAUCAGCUUUGGGAAGUGCUCUUGAUCCACUUGCUGAUAAAAUACUUAUCAGUAUCUUAUAUGUUAGCUUGACCUAUGCAGAUCUUAUUCCAGGUAAGAACGCGUCAUGCAUACUUUGGAAUAGCACAGGGAAGAAUGACAUUAGUCAGCUUAGGAUUUCUCUUGAGAGACAAAUAAUUUUUGUUCCAAAAAUAUAGUUUUCAGCUUUAAACUGUUUCCCUGAUUUUAAACUGUUGAACUGUUUUGUCAAACUACUUGUGGAUUUUAGAAUUUAUGUCCUUGUUUUACUAGUAAAAUCAGUUGCUUUCCUAGUAAGAUUGUUUAAAAUUAAAAUUGAAUAAAUAUUUCACAGUGCCAAUUCAUAUUACUCUGAAAUUUUUUGGUGAUACAUUAUGUAUUUUUAGUGCCUAGCUUUUCAAAAGCAAUUUAGGUUUCCUACGUUUAUUAUCUUUAUUAAUAUCGUUUAAUCAUAAGUGAGAACUCUGAAAUUCUGAAGAUGUCUAUAAAAUUUCACAUUAUGUAGACCCUAUUACGCAAUUUUUAAAUCAUAUCUAUAGUUUGUACAUUAUAUGAAUACUUUUUCUGAUAAGAUUUCAUGAUUUUUUUGCUUUGUAUUUUGCAUGUGCUUUUCUGAUUGUUCACUUUCUUCUUCAGUUGU